rnacentral:rRNA from 1 species
AUUGAACGCUGGCGGCAGGCUUAACACAUGCAAGUCGAGCGGAGCGAGGGUGCUUGCACCUUAGCUUAGCGGCGGACGGGUGAGUAAUGCUUAGGAAUCUGCCUAUUAGUGGGGGACAACAUUCCGAAAGGAAUGCUAAUACCGCAUACGUCCUACGGGGGAAAGCAGGGGAUCUUCGGACCUUGCGCUAAUAGAUGAGCCUAAGUCGGAUUAGCUAGUUGGUGGGGUAAAGGCCUACCAAGGCGACGAUCUGUAGCGGGUCUGAGAGGAUGAUCGGCAACACUGGGACUGAGACACGGCCCAGACUCCUACGGUAGGCAGCAGUGGGGAAUAUUGGACAAUGGGCGGAAGCCUGAUCCAGCCAUGCCGCGUGUGUGAAGAAGGCCUUUUGGUUGUAAAGCACUUUAAGCGAGGAGGAGGCUACUAGUAUUAAUACUACUGGAUAGUGGACGUUACUCGCAGAAUAAGCACCGGCUAACUCUGUGCCAGCCGCCGCUGUAACAC